rnacentral:tRNA from 1 species
AAUAUUUUAAGUUAAAAAAACUAAUAGCCUUCAAAGCUUUAAAUAAAAUAUUUUUAAAUCUUA